rnacentral:rRNA from 1 species
GCAGCCAUCAUUUAAAGAAAGCGUAAUAGCUCACUGAUCGAGUCGUCCUGCGCGGAAGAUGUACCGGGGCUAAACAUACCACCGAAGCUGCGGCUGCGAAUUUAUUCGCGGGGUAGGGGAGCGUUCUGUAAGCUGUUGAAGGUGUGUCGGGAGGCAUGCUGGAGGUAUCAGAAGUGCGAAUGCUGACAUGAGUAACGAUAAAUAAUGUGUAAAUCAUUAUCGCCGUAAGCCCAAGGGUUUUUGCGUAAGGUUCAUCUGCGCAAAUUAAGAGGGUCCCUAAGGUCAAAGCGU